UCGGUACCGGUUGUUAUCAUGUACAUCUGAUAGCGUUCGUUACUUAUAGUAGGGAAUAUACCUAUCUGCUAACCCGCAUUGAAGCAGCGUGGUGGAUUAAGCUCUGAUCCUUCUCCUAUAUAGGGAGAGAGGCUUAUGCCCAGCAGUGGGAUAUUACAGGCUGAAGCAAAUAACUUUUGGGAUAUACGAUUAUGAAGCUGUGUGUUUAUGGUAGAGCAACGUAGUAAACUAAGCUCUAAUCCUUGUCAUUAGUAGAAGAGAAAUCCUUUGCCAUUGCCAGGAUAUUUUCGUUAUUGUCAAGACAAAGUUUCUAUAAAAGAUAAU